UACAGAGGGUGCGAGCGUUGUCCGGAAUCACUGGGCGUAAAGGGCGCGUAGGCGGCUUGAUAAGCGUGCGGUGAAAGCCCGGGGCUCAACCCCGGGUCGGCCGUGCGAACUGUCGAGCUGGAGCACUGUAGAGGCAGGUGGAAUUCCGGGUGUAGCGGUGGAAUGCGUAGAGAUCGGAAGAACACCGGUGGCGAAGGCGGCCUGCUGGGGCAGUGGC
rnacentral:rRNA from 1 species